UUAUUAUUAAUAACCUAGUUUUCUGAAAUUGAAAAAUUGGAUUAUUUGAGUUCCUUUAGAUUUAUUUUUGUGUUUUUGUGUCUAAAAAGUGGAAACAGUAGUGCCUAUACGUAUGCUGAAAAAAUAAUAAUUGUCGUAUUAAUUACUCGUCAAGAAAUGUAUUUAUUCAUUUUAAAUUAAUGGUAAAUUUGAAAGGAAGGACUUAAAUCAAAGAAACAAAUGAUGUAAUUUAAUUUAAACAAUACGUGGGGUUAGCUUAAUUUUUUCUGAGUGGAGCAUGAUUUAUUGUCAGAGUGCAGUGAAACAUUGGAUGGAGAGUUAUUAUUGGAUUCUUGCAUAUAUUACCAGAUAGAACUUGUACUAGAAGUUGCGGAAGGAUUGCUUUUUGUGUUUAACAAUGUCUUCAUCUCAUAUACCACCUCUAAAGAAUGAUAAAGUGAUGGUUGUUGGAAGUGUUCAGAAGGGUAGCAUAAAUAUUUUACACACCAAAAACCGACAAAAGAGUAAAGUUGUAUUGGAAAGAGAAAACCAAAUGAAGUCACUUAAACAACAAUUUCCUCAUAUAGAUUCCAUGAAAAUACAUGAUAUAUUAUCAAAAGUUCAUUUUGAUAUGACACUAGCUCAAAAAGAAGCAGAAAAAGUCAGUAAUGGAAAUAAGAGUUCUACUUCAUCAGUGGAACAAACUAGUCACAGUAAAUCAUUGCAAGCAAUAAAUUGUGUUUCAAAAUUCUCUGGGGCAGUGGAAGAUCCCCUCGCUACAGAUAUUCACCAAAAUGUAAACAAGAAUUUUCAAUCCUCCGUAGCAGGUAAUUACCUAAGGUUAAAUUAAUAU